UUGACUACAACAUAACUAUCUGUUCCGUGGAUGUGAGGAUGACGAUCCCAUGUCAGGAUGGUUCAGAAAAAAACUACAGAACGAAGCCAACAUCAGCAUGAGCUUUGGUUGCAAAUGGUAUGAACUUUGAACUCUUAUUCACGACAGAAGUGAUACCUCCUAGCCGUUGAGUUAGUGACCGCAGCUGCAAACGCAGGUUAGGAAGGAACAGACAGAGUAUCCCAUCUACCACACAACGACGUCACUACAAUUUAUCCAAGGGACCACCAGACACAUUCUUCAAAGGACAGAAGACUCGGUUUGGCAACACGGCCUUCCACCUACCACCAACCUACUGAAGCGCAGCUCAGAUUGUCGUGAAAGCACCAUAAAUCCAGAGAAUGCCAGACUUUGAUGACAAAGUUUGAUGACAAAAAUGUCCUGUUUAAGUGAGCACAGCACAACAAGGUCAGGUUACAGGAGACCACAACCCUGCAGAUUAUCUCUCAACCCCAACAGAGGAGGAGAGAUCUAGGGGUCUGAAGACGUGGGGGGGUUUUAUGGCCCCCACGCCCCUGGUAAAUCUAAGGCCACAGACAAAUUCCUUUGUCCUGUCACUAUGAAGAACCAGCCUCAGAACAUUAAACAUGAAAUAAAGGGACUUUGGAACAAUGGUUUCCGUCAGCCACAAUGGUGGUCAGGACGAUAGAUAGACUAUGAAAAUGUAUGUCAUUUUUGUUCUGUUAUUAAAGGUUAAUAUUACGAAAACAUUGUAAUGUGAAGGGUUUUCCUAGUAUAUGUUUGAUGUUUAUACAUUGUACGUUGUAUGGAAAAUAUCCAAAUCAAAGAGAAUGUUUUGGGGAAGAUGAAAUGUUAAAUUAGUUGUCUAAAAUGGGAUUUGAGAAAAAUCUAGCCCUUGCCUCAUUAACGUGGUACGCCCAGAGAAUUGCUCUAAAGGCGGCUACGCCCACUUCUGACCCAAGGGUAUAAAACCUGUGAGUAUAGAAUUUACAACAGGACUACGUGACCCCAGCUGCAGCAGGGUCGGAAAAAGUCAUCCAACCCAGAACGCAACGCAAGUUUGAGGACAAAGAAAUCCUUUUCUACCCAAGCUACGGAUGAGUAGCUGUGUCUAAGCGGGUGAAUUGAAGUCGAAUCACCUAGCUUCCAUCUCCCAUCGAAUCGUGGUAUCGAAAGGGUUUCAUUCCUAUGCUGUGAGCUGUCUGUCCUCAGAAGACCCCUUCCAGAGAAAAGGGGGGAAACAGACUCCUAAGCCAAAAGGGACACGGACACCGGGAGGACGAGCAACGAGGUGCGCAGGAGAAGUGCGUCAUCGAACAACGGAACGAUCCACGCAGAGAAUCCCCAGAGAUCACCCCCCACGUAAUUACAUCAUUAUAUUCUGACCCAAAAGAGCGGCAGUUUGAGGCAAGGCUAGGGUUAGAAUAGCAUAGCUGACAAAUUCACCCAAAUGUAUAUUUCUCGUGUACUUCUUUUUCUCUCUCUUUUGAAAUUCCCAUUGUGGGUAACACGCGCCAUAGUGUGUUGGCCCGUUAUACUAAGUUCUAAUCAAUAGCCUAUAAUGUGUUUUGUCUAUGUGUAUCUUUUAUCAUCAUUUUAGCUUUUUGGUAAAUAAAUAUUCAACUAAGAUUGGUGUGGUACGAAUUCAUUAGUGGGACCCGGGUCCGUGCAGAUUCAAGGGCUAUACGACGUUCAGAUUAUGAGACUGAUAGAGGCAACUGGUUAAUUAGCGGCUUUUGUCAAAUCGAUAUUCUGAUAUUCUUUGAGUUAAUUUGGGAAAUAGAAACUCAAUAAAACUAGUUUUCCCAUGGUGCCCCAGGUUAAUGAGUUAAUAAUUGCUUGAUUCAGUUAAUCACGUAAUUAGACACUUGUAACCAUUCGAUGAGCAACAGUCGUCACAUUAACUAAUACAAUGUCACGACACUGUACUGCACCUGCGUAGUGCAGUGGAGCGUCUUUAUCCAGGGCGAACAGUGGUGGGUUGAGAAGAACGGUGUUGUCGUUCUCCAUGACAAUACCCUGGUACUCCGUCUCGAUCCAUGGCUUGUGCUUAUUGGCUGAAAGGUAACACAGGAGACAAAAGGAGGCUUGGGUUAAAUGGAGCAAUUAGAAGGGGAAAAAAACAUGGCUACUUGUAACACCCCAUUACAUGACAGGACGUGUAUGUGUGUGUGACUGCAGAUAUACAUACAGACAAAUGAAGACACACACAGACACACAGAAAUGCACACACACUCAACCCCCACACCCUAACACACACGUGUCACUCCACACCUUGCGUCAGUUGGCAACAUAAUUACAUCUAUCCCGAUUUCACCUUAUCACACAGGGAGAGGUAAAUUGUACAUAUCAAUCAGAACAGCCCAAGCAGUCGGUCUCACAGGCUGCCUGACCACUUCACUCACUGGCAAACGUGGACGUCCAAAUUAAACAGGGAAAGUUUGCUGUGAAUACACCCUCUAAUUGCCAAUUAAUAAUUAAUUUCCCUCCAGAAUGUUCACCCAUAUCAAUCAAAGGCAGAGCUAACGAGCUGGAACGGUGACGAUUUUACACUCAAACAAUCAAAGACCAAAACAAAAGCCUGAGGGCUUUUAUUUUAGACAUGCCUCCCUCACUAGACCCUGAGAUGAUGACGUUCGACUCAGACAGCGAUGACAGAGCCACAGGACAUGUUGUGUAGCAACCGCUCCGCCGUUUCAACAACCAAAACACUCUGGCUAAUUAUAACAAUUAAAAAUGCCAAUCUGUCCUGAAUCAAUGUGAGAUGAGAGUACUACAGAGUGGAAAGUAAUUGUCCUCCAGUACUAGUCAUUUCAAAGACGAGUGGCGUUCUCUCCUAGCCAGAUGGGUGUACUUCAAGGCAGGAGCUAUGAGUUAGCCAGCUAACUUUGACAAACAACCAGAAAUAACAGUUGAUUUUCUGGUUCAUUAAGAAAGCUAAACAUACAGUGAAUUCAGGAAAGUAUUCAGACCCCUUGACUUUUUCCACAUGUUGUUACGUUGGACUUAUUCUAAAAUGGAUUUAAUCACCCCCCCCCCCUCGAUCGACCUACACACAAUACCUCGUUAUCACAAAGCAAAAAAAGGUUUUGAUUUUUUUCUGCAAAUGUAUGAACGUUUUUAAAGUAAUCAGACCCUUUACAUUGUUGAAGCAACUUUGUUGGCAGUGAUUGCAGCCUUGAGGCUUCUUGGUUAUGACUCUACAAGCUUGGCACACAUGUAUUUGGGGAGUUUCUCCAAUUCUUCUCUGCAGAUCCUCUCAAGCUCUGUCAGGUUGGAAGGGUAGUGUCGCUGCACAGCUAUUUUCAGGUCUCUCCAGAGAUGAUCGAUCGGGUUCAAGUCUGGGCUCUGGCUGGGCCACUCAAGGAUAUUCAGAGACUUGUCCCGAAGCCACUCCUGCGUUGACUUGGCUGUGUGCUUAGGGUCGUUGUCCUGUUGGAAGAUGAACCUUCGCUCCCAGUCUGAGGUCCUGAGUGCUCUGGAGCAGGUUUUCAUCAAGGAUCUGUCUGUACUUUGCUCCGUUCAUCUUUCCCUUGAUCCUGACUAGUCCUCUAGUCGCUGCCGCUGAAAAACAUCCCCACAGCAUGAUGCUGCCACCACCAUGCUUCACCGUAGGGGUGGUGCCAGGUUUCCUCCAGACGUGACGCUUGGCAUUCAGGCCAAAGAGUUCAAUCUUGGUUUCAUCAGACCAGAGAAUCUUAUUUCUUAUGGUCUUAGAGUCCUCUAGGUGCCAAGCGGGCUGUUGUGUACCUGAAUGGCAGACGGAGUGGCUUCCGUCUGGCCACUCUACCAGAAAGGCCUGAUUGGUGGAGUGCUGCAUAGAUGGUUGACCUUCUGGAAUGUUCUCCCGUCUCCACAGAGGAACUCUGGAGCUCUGUCAGAGCGGACCAUCGGGUUCUUGGGCACCUCCGUGACCAACGCCCUUCUCCCCCGAUUGCUCAAUUUGGCCGGGCGGACAGCUUUAGGAUGGGGCCACAGUGUCUCCUGACCCCUCCUGUCUCAGCCUCCAGUAUGUAUGCUGCAGUAGUUUAUGUGUCGGGGGGCUAGGGUCAGUUUGUUAUAUCUGGAGUACUUCUUCUGUCCUAUUCGGUGUCCUGUGUGAAUCUAAGUGUGCGUUCUCUAAUUCUCUCCUUCUCUCUUUCUUUCUCUCUCUCGGAGGACCUGAGCCCUAGGACCAUGCCCCAGGACUGCCUGACAUGAUGACUCAUUGCUGUCCCCAGUCCACCUGGCCGUGCUGCUGCAGAUCUGUGCCUCGACAAAAUCCUGUCCCGGAGCUCUACGGACAAUUCCUUUGACCUCAUGGCUUGGUUUUUGCUCUGACAUGCACUGUCAACUGUGUGACCUUAUAUAAACAGGUGUGUGUCUUUCCAAAUCAUUUCCAAUCAAUUUAAUUUACCACUGGUGGACUCCAAUCAAGUUGUAAAAACAUUUCAAGGGAUCUCAAUUUCGAGUCUCGAGUCUCAUAGCAAAGAGUCAGAAUAUUUAUGCCAGCAGCAUACCACCCUGCAUACCACUGCUGGCUUGCUUCUGAAGCUAAGCAGGGUUGGUCCUGGUCAGUUCCUGGAUGGGAGAACAGAUGCUGCUGGAAGUGGUGUUGGAGGGCCAGUAGGAGGCACUCUUUCCUCUGGUCUAAAAUAAUAUCCCAAUUCCCCAGGGCAGUGAUUGGGGAAACUGCCCUGUGUAGGGUGCCGUCUUUCGGAUGGGACGUUAAACGGGUGACCUGACUGUCUGAGGUCAUUAAAGAUCCCAGAGCACUUAUUGUAAGAGUACAGGUGUUAACCCUGGUGUCCUGGCUAAAUUCCCAAUCUGGCCCUCAAACCAUCAUGGGCACCUAAUAAAACCCCAGUUUACAAUUGGCUCAUUCAUCCCCCUCCUCUCCCCUGUAACUAUUCCCCAGGUUGUUGCUGCAAAUGAGAAUGUGUUCUCAGUCAACUUACCUGGUAAAAUAAUGGAUAAAUGUAAAUAAGGUAUGUUUUUUUGUUUUUUUUACAAAUUUGCACAAAAUGUUAAAAAACUGUUUUCGCUUUGUCAUUAUGGGGUAUCGUGAGUAGAUUGAUGUGAAAACUUUUUUUUAAUCAAUUUUUUAAACAAGGCUGUAACAAAAUGUGGAAAAAUUCAAGGGGUCUGAUUCCUCUCCUAAAGCACUGUAGAUAUCCCACUGGGCACAGACAUCAGCUCAACGUCUAGUUUUGAUGUACAUUUGGUUGAGUUGUCAACCAACGUGAAUUCAACGUGAAAUAAACCAAACAUACCUAA